AAACACCUUCUUCCUCCUCAUGAAAGACUAAGAUUAUCUUCUCCAAAACAUCAUCCGUUCAUCACUUAGCACAUAAACCUCUUAUCUCUCUUUCACUCAACUCUACUCAUGACAACCAUAACCUCCGAUGAAUUCCAACAUAAUAUUUCAUCAUUUUCACUCUUAACAACAAAAGAAAUAUUUCCAUAAAAACACCACUCCUCACGUGAACAAUAUUGUUGCACACCACAAUAAAACUGUGCACUUCCGAAAACGGUUCAGCCAAGGAAUGCAUGACGACCAUCGCUGAACCUAGCUCCGGCGAGACAUCACUAAGUUUUGACGCGGUUGCAUUCAUCCUCGUCGUCGUUAAGCCUUAGUUCACCACAUCGUCCUUCAUUUGCUUUCCGACUCUGACGGUUCUUUCCUUCUCCCUCUCUUUGCCUUUUCAUUUUUAACAUUAAAAAUAUUGUUUUGGUUUUAUAUGAUGUUGUCAUUAAGAUUUAUGUUCAAUUAGUUAUAUAUAGGUUUAAGUUUUCAAUUUUUGAGCUUAUAGAAAGUUGUUUUUAUAUGUAUUUAUUGACUGUUUUUUGAGUUUAUAUAU
rnacentral:lncRNA from 1 species